UACGUAGGGUGCAAGCGUUAAUCGGAAUUACUGGGCGUAAAGCGUGCGCAGGCGGUUUUGUAAGACAGUGGUGAAAUCCCCGGGCUCAACCUGGGAACUGCCAUUGUGACUGCAAAGCUAGAGUGCGGCAGAGGGGGAUGGAAUUCCGCGUGUAGCAGUGAAAUGCGUAGAUAUGCGGAGGAACACCGAUGGCGAAGGCAAUCCCCUGGGCCUGCACUGACGCUCAUGCACGAAAGCGUGGGGAGCAAACAGG
rnacentral:rRNA from 2 species